CAGGCGUAGCAAUACGUGCUGACGAGCGGCGAACGGGUGAGUAAUGCUUCGGAAUCUUCCUCGUAGUGGGGAAUAACCUGGGGAAACUCAGGCUAAUACCGCAUACGAACUACGGUUGAAAGCAGGGGAUCGCAAGACCUUGCGCUAUGAGAUGAGCCGAAGUCGGAUUAGCUAGUUGGUGGGGUAAAGGCCUACCAAGGCGACGAUCCGUAGCUGGUCUGAGAGGACGACCAGCCACACUGGGACUGAGACACGGCCCAGACUCCUACGGGAGGCAGCAGUGGGGAAUAUUGGACAAUGGGGGCAACCCUGAUCCAGCGACGCCGCGUGUGUGAAGAAGGCCUGCGGG
rnacentral:rRNA from 1 species